rnacentral:rRNA from 1 species
UAACUCACUAUAUUGUUCGCCAGAGUACUACAAGCGCUAGCUUAAAACCCAAAGGACUUGGCGGUGUCCCAAACCCACCUAGAGGAGCCUGUUCUGUAACCGAUAAUCCCCGUUAAACCUCACCACUUCUAGCCAUCCCCGUCUAUAUACCGCCGUCGUCAGCUCACCCUGUGAAGGCUCAAAAGUAAGCAAAAAGAACCAACUCCCACACGUCAGGUCGAGGUGUAGCGAAUGAAGUGGGUAGAAAUGGGCUACAUUUUCUAUAAAGAAAACACGAAUGGUAAACUGAAAAAUUAUCUGAAGGUGGAUUUAGCAGUAAGAAAAGACUAGAGAGCUUCUCUGAAACCGGCUCUGGGACGCGCACACACCGCCCGUCACUCUCCUCGAAAGAAGUCUACUUAUUUUUAAUUAAAGAAAAAUACCAAGAGGAGGCAAGUCGUAACAUGGUAAGUGUACUGGAAAGUGCACUUGGAAUC